UACAGAGGGUGCAAGCGUUAAUCGGAGUUACUGGGCGUAAAGGGCGCGUAGGCGGAUAUAUAAGUGAGAUGUGAAAUCCCUGGGCUUAACCUAGGAACUGCAUUUUAUACUGUAUGUCUGGAGUACUGUAGAGGGUAGUGGAAUUUCCGGUGUAGCGGUGAAAUGCGUAGAGAUCGGAAGGAACACCAGUGGCGAAGGCGGCUACCUGGACAGAUACUGACGCUGAAGCGCGAGAGCGUGGGGAGCAAACAGG
rnacentral:rRNA from 1 species